rnacentral:ncRNA from 2 species
CUCUUAUAAAGAGAGGUGGAGGGACUGGCCCGAUGAAACCCGGCAACCGCCCAUUUGUGGAAUGGUGCCAAAUCCUGCAGGAUGAUUAUCCUGAAAGAUGAGAG